AAGCUCGUAGUUGAAUUUCGGGAGUCGCGGGUCGGUUGGGCUUAACUGUCCAUCACUGGCCUCGCGGGUCUCUUACCUUCUGGCGAGGUCAGAUGUCAUUCAUUUGGUGUCUGGCGGAACCAGGACCAUUACCUUGAAAAAAUUAGAGUGUUUAAAGCAGGCUUUAUCGUCUGAAUACAUUAGCAUGGAAUAAUAAAAUAGGACGGCUAAGGGUUCUAUUUUGUUGGUUUCUAGGACCACCGUAAUGAUUAAUAGGGAUAGUUGGG
rnacentral:rRNA from 1 species